AUGUGCUUGCCUUUCGCAAUGCAAGGAGUGGUCCGUCUGGUAUCGUUGAGUCUUGCUAACGUGAGGGCGUGUGAGUGGUGAUUUGGUUGUCUGUGCUGUCUGGCUCCAUGGUCAUGGCCAUCGAACUUUCAGCACGCAACCCUUCUCAGGUUCGUUCGCCUUGUGUCAUUGCGGCCUCGGUGUUCACUCGUGGUUCUUGUGUUGCCUACCCGUUUAGCGGUAUUCAUGUGCCUCUUAAGACCCGUUCAAUCCAGACCCCUUCUAGGGAGUGCUGGUGAGUUCGAAAGUGAUGCAUGUUUUGCGUUAGCUGUGAAUUGCAACGGUUGGCGUGCUAACAUGUGUCUACUGUUCCCUCGGAUGCGGUGCAUGCAGUGAACGUGGGCUGACGAUUUUGCCCCGUUUAAUUAUCGGUUGCCUUGAAUGACACUUUGUCGUAGUGCUGGUGUUGCUUUACCAUUCGUGGUGUCAACACUAGUAUGUCGAGCAGAGUCGUUGAUG
rnacentral:misc_RNA from 1 species